GCGGAGCGAGACCUUCCGGAGCUGAGCGGGAGGCGGCUGCUGAUGUGUUCUGUCUCCUGCAAGCAGGUCUGGCAGGGCACAGCAUGAUUGAAGAGGACUGGAAUGCGGAGAUGGGGGACGAGACGUUGCUCCCAUCCCUUGAGAAGGUUAGCUUGUUUGAAAGACCAAAUGACCUCUCAUCUGGCUUCAGUCCGAGUGUAAGCUCAUUCGGUACUGAUGAAUUUUUGAACAGACAGUGUCAACCAAUGAGUAGUUUCGGUAGAGGAAGGAAUUUUGAAGCCAAAGGUUUUCAAGAAAGAAACAUAGGAGAUGCUAGUAUGCAAUAUAGAGGGUCUAAAGGAUUCCGUGGUGGCUUUGGACAAGGUUUUCCAGGAAGAAAUGCUGCAGAAGGUUCUAGUACGCAUACAAAAAAUAAAGGGUUUAAAGGAUUUCAUGGUGACUUUGGACAAUGUGAGAAUGGGCAGAGGAACAUGUCUCAGUCUGGAAUUCUUGACUCUACAGGAAAAGGAACAUUUACAGAUGGUGCAGGUUUUCAAGAAAGAAACGUUGUAAAAGGUUUUAGUACACGAAAUAGAGGGUCCAAAGGAUUUCAUGACGGCUUUGGACAAGGUAUUAAUAAUGGGCGAAGGGUCAUACCUCAGUCUGGAACUCUUGGCUCUAGAGAAAAAGGGACAUUUACAGAUGGUGCAGGUCCGAAGGUGACGUAUGUUCCCCCUCCUCCACCUGAUGAUGAACAAGCGAUCUUUGCACGUUAUGAGACAGGAAUGAAUUUUGACAAGUAUGAUGAAAAUAUCGUCGAAGUGUCAGGACUGGACCCUCCAGCAGCAUUAAUGAGCUUUGCAGAGGCUAACAUAUCCCAUACUUUAGCUGUGAACAUUGCUAAAGCUGGAUACUCUAAACCUACUCCAGUGCAGAAGUACAGUAUUCCUAUUGUACUGGCAGGACGGGAUUUAAUGGCAUGUGCCCAGACAGGAUCAGGAAAAACUGCAGCUUUUCUUGUACCAAUUGUGGCCCAAAUGAUGAGAGAUGGUGUAACUGCCAGUAGCUUUAAACAGCAGCAAGAACCAGAAUGUAUUAUUACUGGCCCAACUAGAGAACUAGUAAAUCAGAUCUUCCUAGAAGCAAGGAAAUUUGUGUAUGGAACUUGUAUAAGGCCUGUUGUGGUCUAUGGAGGUACACAGAUAGGCCAUUCAAUUCAUCAGGUUAUGCAAGGCUGUAAUAUACUAUGUGCCACUCCAGGAAGGCUUCUAGACAUCAUUGGAAGAGGAAAGAUUAGUUUGCGUAAUGUGAAAUAUUUGGUGCUAGAUGAAGCAGACCGCAUGCUUGAUAUGGGUUUUGGCUCAGAGAUGAAGAAGCUGAUUUCUUUCCCAGACAUGCCACAAAAAGACAAACGCCAGACACUAAUGUUUAGUGCUACAUUCCCUGAAGAAGUUCAGAGGCUGGCUGGUGAAUUUUUGAAAACUGAUUUUUUGUUUGUUGUUGUCGGACAUGUGGGUGGAGCAUGCAGCGAUGUUCAGCAAAAUAUUCUUCAGGUUUCUCAGUAUCUCAAGAGAGAUAAACUGAUGGAAAUUCUACACAGCAUAGGUAAUGAGCGAACCAUGGUGUUUGUGGACACAAAGAAAAAAGCAGACUUCAUUGCGUGCUUUCUUUGUCAAGAAAAUAUACCAGCCACUAGCAUCCAUGGAGAUAGAGAGCAGAGAGAGAGAGAAAUAGCCCUUCAGGAUUUUCGUUCUGGAAAAUGUCCAGUUCUCGUGGCAACCUCAGUGGCAGCAAGAGGUCUGGACAUCGAAAGCGUUCAGCAUGUUAUUAAUUUUGAUCUUCCUUCCACCAUUGAGGAGUAUGUACACAGAAUUGGACGAACUGGCCGUUGUGGAAAUACAGGGAAAGCAGUUUGCUUCUUUGAUAACGAUUCGGAUGGCCAUCUUGCACAGUCUCUAAUUAAAGUGCUUUCAGACGCCCAGCAGGAAGUUCCUCUUUGGUUGACAGAAGUUGCUUUUGAGUUUGAAAGAGGAAGACUCUCAGUUAAUGUCCAAAAGAACACGUUUCUCUGGUCAAAAGUUAGUGUGGGAUUUCAAGGGCCUCUGCUUCAUGUGGCUCCUACAGACCUAUCUCAUUUUAUGCCUGUAGUUACUGAGAAGGAAAUGUUCAGCUCUUUGAUUUGGAUGUUCGUCCUGCUCUGCAGCUCUGUAGCAGAUGAAAACUCUAUCAGAGAUGCUGACAUUUUUCCUUCAUCUGCUGAAAUUAAAAGAGGAUCCUCCCUGAAACAAUUUUGUAUUCUUGGAAAACACCACAUGCCUCACAGAAAUGCAAGCCACAUCAUCUGGAAAUUGAAUGAUGAAUUGAUUGCUCCAGAGAAUUAUAACAUUGUGAAUGAGACUGUAUCUAGUAUAACCAUCCCUAAUUUCACCUACAGAACAGCUUAUCUGAAAUGUUUCAUGAAGUACUUGGACAAGGAGCAGCUUCUGGUUCACAAAGAAGUUAAAUCUGGCUUUCCUCCAGACACUCCGGGAAAUAUUUCCUGCAUUUAUUACUUUGAUGAUAACCUUACCUGUACCUGGAAUUCAGGAAGAAAAACAAGUUUUACAAGAAACUAUACUCUUUACCGAAAACUGGCGACUAAUCCAAAUACUAUAGUCAGCUCCUGCCAGAGUAAAACAGAGUCAUGUUCAUUUCUAUAUCCAGAUACUCCGUAUAGUAGUGCUUUUUGUUUUCAGGUGAAAGCUGAAAAUGUUUUGGGUGAAGCCUUAUCGAAGUGUGUUCCUAUAGCUAUGGGAAAAAUAGAGAAAUUUGACCCUCCUGAAAUACUUUUAGUUAAAACAAUCAGCGGUAUAAAGCAGUUACUUACAGUAACCUGGAAAAUGCCUGAGAAGAUUGUCCCUUCAAAAGAUUUAACUUGCCAGGUUCAAUACAGAAACUUGUAUUCAAACUCUACAAAAUAUGUCACUGUCCCACUGAAUUCUGCAGAGAAAACAGGAUCAUGUAAUCUCACAGGUCUGUGGGACUCCACAGAAUAUUCUGUUGCUGUUCGGUGUAUCAGUAAUGAAUCAAUAUUUUGGAGUGAAUGGAGUGGAGAGAAAAGUGGAAGCACGAAAGAGAAAGCUCCUUCAGAAAAAGUGGAUUUGUGGAGGGUAAUUGAGUCUUCACACUCACCCGGAAGUAGGUCUGUACAUCUCAUGUGGAAGCCAUUAAAUAGCUUUCCACCUUCUGGGAGAAUUCUAGGCUACAAAAUACAGUAUUUUCCAGAAAACAAGACUGCACUUAAAAUGAUAAACAACUCUACUGACAAGAAAAUCACUUUACUUUUAAAUGAAGAGGCAUAUAUAGUAUCUGUUACUGCCUAUAACUCUGCUGGAAAUUCUCCUGAAGCUAUUUUGAGGAUUCCAUCCACAGACGAAAAAACUGCUCAGAUUACUGGAACAGCGAGGACCUUACCAUCAAAUGAAGAAGUGGUUGUGGAAUGGGCAGUCUCUAAACCAGAAGCAACAGAAUAUGUAGUUGAGUGGUUUGAGGACUUGGAGAUGGAUCCUUUUAGUAGAUCGUGGCAAUAUGUGUCGAAUUCUACAAACUGGAAAACUAACAAAAAAAACUUUAAACCAUUUGUAUGCUAUAACAUCUCAGUGUAUCCUCUUUAUGGAAAUAAAGUAGCAGCUCCAUAUACCGUACAAACUUAUGUUCAACAAAAAAAACCAUCAGAAGGACCUGUGGCUGAGACAGGCAUUCCAGGAAAAAAUGAAGUUACAAUACAAUGGAAUGAGAUUUCAAAGGAUAAAAGAAAUGGAUUUAUCACUAACUAUACAAUAUUUUAUAAACCUGAAGAUGGAAAAGAAUUGAAUGAAACAGUGAACUCUAAUGAUCGAAAAUACAGACUGAAGUCCUUACAGGCUAAUACACAGUAUACUGUCUAUAUCAUGGCAAGCAAUGAAGCUGGUGGAACCACCGGAGAGCCAAAGACCUUCAAAACUUUGAAACUGGAUAAAGAAGAUGUUAUUUUAAUUGCUGUGCUUGUUGGAAUAAGCGUGUUCUGUCUGUUAGGCCUUUGGGUAACAUGCAUUUUGAAAAAACAUGUGUUUAAGAAGGUUUGCUGGCCUGAUAUACCAAAUCCUGCAGAGAGCAUUGCAGUGGAAUGGCCUCUUGCUGCAUCUAUGAAUAAUUCACUUUUGAAGAAGUUGGCAUCUGAGGCUAAAACUGUAGACUUUGAAGACAUAAGUGUUUUGGAACAUUGUUUUCCUGAAGAAAACCAUGUUUCUGAAUGUACUGAUAUUAAUGCAGAAGACAUGAUCAGUGGAGAUAAAAAGAUACUGCAUAAACAAGAAAAUGAUGUUGCUAAAUGUUUUUUGCCAUCCAUGCCUUAUGUGAUCACUGAUCAAUUUACCAGAAGCCAAAUGAAGUCAACUUUGACACUAGUGAAGGAAAUCCAACCCAUGGAAAUGCUGGCAAAUGAUUUGUGUGGAUCCCAACAGAAUUCAAUCAAAAAUGAAGAAAAUGAUGAUGAAGUUUUAAAGGUGGAAGAUUUCAAUGAAAAAACACUGUUCAAUCCAUACCUUAAAAAUUCUGUUAAAACAAGGGAAUUUCUUAUUUCUGAGAGCUUGCCAGAGCACAGUAUGGAUGAAUGCAAAAGCCAGUCAAGUGUCUUACCUCCUUUUCAACAAAAUGUUGCAGGACAACCCUACAUAACACUGGACAUGUUCGAGCCGGCCACUGCUCAGUAGCGUGGGAAGAUUUUCCGUUGUAAAGUCGCCCUGUGAAAAAACUCUUGGCACUGCUGCUCAUGUGCAUUCCUAUGUUUUAACCUCUCUGGUCUCAGUUAAUUUGGAUGGAAACACCCUCUUCCUUCAAACAGCUGUGAAGUUAUUCUUUGCACCGUGUUUAUACAUUUCUCCCAUAAUCAGCCUGCUAAAACAAACUUGUAUUUGCUGCAAGAGGAUCCAGUAAUGCAAACAGCUCAUUGAUUUCUCCCCCAGGCGGCCAGUUCCCAGGGCUCAGCUCUACUGGGGAAACAUGGACUGACUUGAAUAGAGCCAGAAUCUGACGAAUCCUUACUUCAGUUACAUGAAAUAAAACUACCGACCUGUUCUUACUUUCCUUGAUUGUUUUAUAUAUGGUUUUAUGUAUAGUGUUCCUUUUGUAUCACAAAUACCUUGUAGAUUUCAGUAGUUGUUGUUUUGUAUCUUGACUCUUGAAUCAGUGGUUUGGUUUAUAUUUUCUUUGUCUUUAAUGAGAGUAUAUUUGUAUGUUAUCUGCAUUUUAGAAAAGAUACAGUUAUGCUGUCUAUGUAGCUCCUUUCCUUUCUCUCAUGUUUUUAGUCAUCCUCUGCAUUUUGUGCUGCUUUUGUCUCUUCUAAUUGUUUCCUGAUUUUAAAAACUAUUUACUGAAGGAUAACUUCUUAUCUUUUUAUUCCUUUGCCUCUGAUUUCUUGCAGUUUAAAUCUGUUUCUCUGAUAUUUUCAACUAAAAAAAAAAAACAACUAAGUAUGGCAUCUUGUGUUGGAAUAAGCACUAAGUUAGGAAGUUAUUUUUCUGAGAGUUAUGAAAAAAAACACUAAGUCUACAAAAUAUCGCCAUAUAUCCUCUGGUGGAUGAUUUAGGAUUAGGUAUUUCUACAUGAAGGCUAUAACUUUUGUAAUUUGUUUUAUGAUUUUGAUAAAUCGUAAAACUACUUGUGGUUUCCAUUUUAUAAAGCGACAAUUAAGCAGGAAACAAUCACACUAAUUUUUUUUUUUUGGCAGGAAAGAGGCCAUUACUGUAAAAUUCUUACUGAAAUAUUUACUCUGUUAAAUAACAGGUUGAAAAGGAUGGAGAGUCUAAGUAAAUUGGUCUUCAUUAUGACACAUGUGACAUAUGGUCAUUUUAAUACUUCAAAGUAUUUUUACAGUGUUUAAAGGCUUGUUGUCAUCAGUCUUGUUUGCACAUAACUACAGACUUUGUUUGGGAUAAAAAAAAAGAUACAGGAGUUAUGGGGAUAGAAAAACAGGGAACAGAUGUGAAUAGAAAUAGAAGGCCUUUCCUUUCUGUGCAGGAAGAGAAGUGGGAGAAUGGAAAAUAUAUUGUCUAGCAUGAAUGAGAAGACUGAGCCUUUCUCUGGAUGUAUUGGCUAUUGCACUAUUGCAUUGUGUUGUGGAAGACAGGGUAAAGUUUGCAUUCAGGAUUUUUGUCUAGAGUUUGGAAGUUGCUUUUACUUACAGUGAUGUUUGUAGUUUUCAAGGAAUGAUGAGAAGACAAUUUCUGCAAAUGUUCCUUGUUUAGCAUCACAGAUUUCCACCUCUCAUGUUUGUUGGGUCACUUUCUCAACUAUAGUGCUAUAAGCCAUACUGCAUGUAUGUUUGUCCUUAUAAGCCUUUGCUCACUUAGGUAGGUCAUGCUCUGAAAUUAGCGUGGGACACAGCCUUGGUUAGGUCAGUGCUGCUUCUGCUGUUUGGCUGACUUCCACGCUUCUCACUCAGAGCUACAUUGCUGGUUCCUAAGGUUCAGAACUCACUGACUCAAUCACAGAAUUUUUUUUCGCUUAAAUCUCAGUAUUGUUUUAAUAUCACAAGAUAUAAAAAUAAACAGAUGCAGAGACAUUUCAGAGCUGUCUAGGAAGUUUUAGCAACCAUAUGAAAGCUGCAUACUCUGUGUUGAGAUCGAGACAGGUAAAAAUUAAAAAUAAUCCAAUUUGUAACAUCUCUUAGCUUUUGGAGGCUAAGUAUAACCUGAUUUUCUGUCCCAUUUUAUUUCCUUCUCUAUUGAUAUUCUGAUUUUCUAUCCUCAUUUUUCUGUUUUCCUUGCCCAUUAUUUUCUCUGAAAAAGCAAAAUGCAAGUAACUGGGCUCAGUACAUUCCAGAAAUUAAGGCUGCAUUUUGCACAUGCUUUGAAAUGCCAACUUCUUGUACUUGGUUUGUUUUGCGUUGGGAAUUGUACUCUUUCUGUCCUUUUACAAUUUGUCCUUCAAACUAAUGCUGUGACCCAUUAAAAAAUAAAACUGA